rnacentral:rRNA from 1 species
UACGUAGGCAGCAAGCGUUGUUCGGAGUUACUGGGCGUAAAGGGUGCGUAGGCGGUUGUUUAAGUUUGGUGUGAAAUCUCCCCGGCUCAACUGGGAGGGUGCGCCGAAUACUGAAUGACUAGAGUGCGGGAGAGGAGAGUGGAAUUCCUGGUGUAGCGGUGAAAUGCGUAGAUAGUCAGGAGGAACACCGGUGGUGUAGACGGCUCUCUGGACCGUAACUGACGCUGAGGCGCGAAGGCGUGGGGAGCGAACGGG